CAGUAAAUAGUUUAUAAAUAAUGAAAAUAUAAAUUUUGGAGAUUUAAGAUGAGAUUUUAUAUCUUUUUACUGA
rnacentral:tRNA from 1 species